CAUGAAGCCGGAAUUGCUAGUAAUGGCAGGUCAGCAUACUGCCGUGAAUACGUUCCCGGGCCUUGUACACACCGCCCGUCACACCAUGAGAGUUGGGAAUACCCGAAGCCUGUGAGCUAACUUAACGAGGCAGCAGUCGAAGGUAGAAUCAAUGAUUGGGGUGAAGUCGUAACAAGGUAAC
rnacentral:rRNA from 1 species